rnacentral:rRNA from 1 species
AGUGAACGCUGGCGGUAGGCCUAACACAUGCAAGUCGAACGGCAGCACAGUAAGAGCUUGCUCUUACGGGUGGCGAGUGGCGGACGGGUGAGGAAUACAUCGGAAUCUACUUUUUCGUGGGGGAUAAUGUAGGGAAACUUACGCUAAUACCGCAUACGACCUACGGGUGAAAGCAUGGGAUCUUCGGACCUUGCGCGAUUGAAUGAGCCGAUGUCGGAUUAGCUAGUUGGCGGGGUAAAGGCCCACCAAGGCGACGAUCCGUAGCUGGUCUGAGAGGAUGAUCAGCCACACUGGAACUGAGACACGGUCCAGACUCCUACGAGAGGCAGCAGUGGGGAAUAUUGGACAAUGGGCGCAAGCCUGAUCCAGCCAUACCGCGUGGGUGAAGAAGGCCUUCGGGUUGUAAAGCCCUUUUGUUGGGAAAGAAAAGCAGCAGGUUAAUACCCCGCUGUUCUGACGGUACCCAAAGAAUAAGCACCGGCUAACUUCGUG